ACACACACAUACAUAAAAACACACACACACACAAAUACAUAUGUUCAUACAGACACAUACAUGCAAACACACAUACACACACAGAGACACAUACAUACAGACACACAGACAGACAUACAAACACACAUAUACAAACACACACACAUACAUACAAGCACACACAUAUACAGACACAUACAAAACACACACACAUACAUACAAAUACACACAUAUACAGACACAUACAAAC